GCUUAACACAUGCAAGUCGAGGGGAAACGAUAUUGGAAGCUUGCUUCCGAUAGGCGUCGACCGGCGCACGGGUGAGUAACGCGUAUCCAACCUGCCCAUCACUUGGGGAUAACCUUGCGAAAGUAAGACUAAUACCCAAUGACGUCUCUAGAAGACAUCUGAAAGAGAUUAAAGAUUUAUCGGUGAUGGAUGGGGAUGCGUCUGAUUAGCUAGUUGGUGAGGUAACGGCCCACCAAGGCGACGAUCGGUAGCCGGACUGAGAGGUUGAACGGCCACAUUGGGACUGAGACACGGCCCAGACUCCUACGGGAGGCAGCAGUGGGGAAUAUUGCACAAUGGGGGAAACCCUGAUGCAGCGACGCCGCGUGGAGGAAGAAGGUCUUCGGAUUGUAAACUCCUGUUGUUGGGGAAGAUAAUGACGGUACCCAACAAGGAAGUGACGGCUAACUACGUGCCAGCAGCCGCGGUAAAACGUAGGUCACAAGCGUUGUCCGGAAUUACUGGGUGUAAAGGGAGCGCAGGCGGGAAGACAAGUUGGAAGUGAAAUCUAUGGGCUCAACCCAUAAACUGCUUUCAAAACUGUUUUUCUUGAGUAGUGCAGAGGUAGGCGGAAUUCCCGGUGUAGCGGUGGAAUGCGUAGAUAUCGGGAGGAACACCAGUGGCGAAGGCGGCCUACUGGGCACCAACUGACGCUGAGGCUCGAAAGUGUGGGUAGCAAACAGGAUUAGAUACCCUGGUAGUCCACACCGUAAACGAUGAUUACUAGGUGUUGGAGGAUUGACCCCUUCAGUGCCGCAGUUAACACAAUAAGUAAUCCACCUGGGGAGUACGACCGCAAGGUU
rnacentral:rRNA from 1 species